CUCUCUGGCGGGCGAUGCGUGGGGAUUUCAUCCGCCGGUUUUUUCGAAAGGUCCGGUACUCCAACCCGCAUCGUCCGCCGCCUUG
rnacentral:antisense_RNA from 1 species